CUGGGAGACUCCCUGGGGGCUGGGCACUGCCCAGAGGAGAGGAAGCCACGUGCUGGAGGGCACCUGACGGCUACUCAGGCGGGGUGCUGGAGCUCUGUGUGCUCCAGACAGAGGGGCUGGGACAUGGGAGUCCAGGGUGCAGCCUGGCGCCUGCACUGCAAGUGAUUCAGAAUGUGUGGGGAGACCGACAGCUUACCCCAGAUUCAGUGCUUGGUGCUUGGUGGUCUGGUGGAGGCGAGGACAGGAAGAGAGCUGGCCCGGUAGGGUGACAGUCUCCAGCCCCUUUACCCUGAAGACACAGCAGCCGUGGGUUAGAAGCUGUGACGCUUGGCCUCUGAGCUGAUAUGUGACGUUCCACAGUAGUUUCAUCCACUGUGAGCUGAAGGUAUGGAGCGGCAUCUGCAUUUGCACCACUGGGUCCCUUACUUCUGACUGGAGGGGGUUACGGUUGGGACGGAGCCUGGAGGGUCCUUCCAGAUUCUCUUCUCCAGAGACUUGGAUUCAGGACUUGAGUGAGAUUUGCUUCUGUGUCUGAAGUGUUGCCUCCGAAAAGAUAUAAACCAGCUACAAGCUGGCUGUAUGUAGGGAACUCUGGAAGCAAAGCUGCAAGAAAGCAGGAAAGAAGAGGGGGAACAGGAACUGGAGCCCAUGUCCAGCAUACAGCUGCCUUUGCUGCCCACACUGAGUCAGAGCUCACUGCAGUCCCGAGAGCAGCUUCAUGGAUCCAGGCCCUGUCUUUUAUGAGGCACUUCUCUACAUCCUGCACUUCAGUUGGGGAGAUACCGGAGCUGAAUUGCUCCUCAUCCCUGCCUGGCCCAGCCCCUGCUAGCCCUCAGGCAUAAGUGGAUGCAGGGGAGCAGUUCUGAACCUUCUGGGAAGAAUAAAGUGACCCAAGACCAGGAUCACCCACUGCUUUCUUCUGGAAUCAGGUGUGACUCUGUCCUCAUCUAGACACUGGAGGUAAUUCAGGCCCUCCGCUCCCUAAAGUGCCCCAUGACCAUUUUAAGGAGGCAUUGUACCUCACCGUCUACAAUUUGGACUGUAUCUCUACAAGAAAAUAAUUCAGGGAAAUUACAUCAAGUUAAGAAGACAACCGUGGUGUGUAUCCUGAUUUCAGCCAUGUAACACAGACUGUACGAAAUUGCUUGGUGUAGAAAGGGGCUUCAGGUGUGUGGUAGUUGAUCUUUAAUGCGCGAGACUUUGCUCCUCU